rnacentral:rRNA from 1 species
CUGCUGCCUCCCGUAGGAGUCUGGUCCGUGUCUCAGUACCAGUGUGGGGGACCUUCCUCUCAGAACCCCUACGCAUCGUCGGUUAGGUGGGCCGUUACCCCGCCUACUGCCUAAUGCGCCGCAUGCCCAUCCCUGUCCGGCCGAAGCCUUUCCUGCCUCCGGGAUGCCCCGGUGGCAUGUACGCGGGUUUAGCCCGCCUUUCGGCGGGUUGUCCCCCUGACAGGGGCAGGUUGCAUACGUGUUACUCACCCGUCGCGCCGGUCGGCCGGCGGAGAAAG